rnacentral:rRNA from 1 species
AUACGUAGGGGGCGAGCGUUGUCCGGAAUGAUUGGGCGUAAAGGGCGCGUAGGCGGCUUUGCAAGUCAGUAGUGGAAGUCCAUUUUUCAAGGAUGGAAGUGCUACAGAAACUGCGGAGCUUGAGUGCAGGAGAGGUUAUCGGAAUUCCCGGUGUAGCGGUGAAAUGCGUAGAGAUCGGGAGGAACACCAGUGGCGAAGGCGGGUAACUGGACUGCAACUGACGCUGCGGCGCGAAAGUGUGGGGAGCAAACAGGAUUAGAUACCCUGGUAGUCCACACUGUAAACGAUGAAUGCUAGGUGUAGGAGGUAUCGACCCCUUCUGUGCCGCAGUAAACACAGUAAGCAUUCCGCCUGGGGAGUACGGUCGCAAGAUUAAAACUCAAAGGAAUUGACGGGG